GAUGAACGCUGGCGGCGUGCCUAAUACAUGCAAGUCGAGCGAACAGACGAGGAGCUUGCUCCUCUGACGUUAGCGGCGGACGGGUGAGUAACACGUGGAUAACCUACCUAUAAGACUGGGAUAACUUCGGGAAACCGGAGCUAAUACCGGAUAAUAUAUUGAACCGCAUGGUUCAAUAGUGAAAGACGGUUUUGCUGUCACUUAUAGAUGGAUCCGCGCCGCAUUAGCUAGUUGGUAAGGUAACGGCUUACCAAGGCAACGAUGCGUAGCCGACCUGAGAGGGUGAUCGGCCACACUGGAACUGAGACACGGUCCAGACUCCUACGGGAGGCAGCAGUAGGGAAUCUUCCGCAAUGGGCGAAAGCCUGACGGAGCAACGCCGCGUGAGUGAUGAAGGUCUUUGGAUCGUAAAACUCUGUUAUUAGGGAAGAACAAAUGUGUAAGUAACUAUGCACGUCUUGACGGUACCUAAUCAGAAAGCCACGGCUAACUACGU
rnacentral:rRNA from 1 species